UGGAGCAGCACUAUGACCAUGCAACCUGAUCUCGUCAGAUCUCAGGAGCUAAGCAAGGUUGGGCCUGAUUGGUACUGGGACAGGAAACGUCUAAGGAAAACAAAAUUGCUGCUGUAC
rnacentral:rRNA from 1 species